rnacentral:rRNA from 1 species
AAACUUUCAACAACGGAUCUCUUGGUUCUGGCAUCGAUGAAGAACGCAGCGAAAUGCGAUAAGUAAUGUGAAUUGCAGAAUUUAGUGAAUCAUCGAAUCUUUGAACGCACAUUGCGCCCCCUGGUAUUCCGGGGGGCAUGCCUGUCCGAGCGUCAUUG